GGGGAAUAUUGCACAAUGGGGGAAACCCUGAUGCAGCAACGCCGCGUGAAGGAUGACGGUUUUCGGAUUGUAAACUUCUUUUCUUAGUGACGAAGACAGUGACGGUAGCUAAGGAAUAAGCAUCGGCUAACUACGUGCCAGCAGCCGCGGUAAUACGUAGGAUGCAAGCGUUAUCCGGAUUUACUGGGUGUAAAGGGAGCGCAGGCGGGACUGCAAGUUGGAUGUGAAAUACCGUGGCUUAACCACGGAACUGCAUCCAAAACUGUAGUUCUUGAGUGAAGUAGAGGCAAGCGGAAUUCCGAGUGUAGCGGUGAAAUGCGUAGAUAUUCGGAGGAACACCAGUGGCGAAGGCGGCUUGCUGGGCUUUAACUGACGCUGAGGCUCGAAAGUGUGGGGAGCAAACAGGAUUAGAUACCCUGGUAGUCCACACUGUAAACGAUGAUAGCUAGGUGUGGGGGGUCUGACCCCUUCCGUGCCGGAGUUAACGCAAUAAGCUAUCCACCUGGGGAGUACGACCGCAAGGUUGAAACUCAAAGGAAUUGACGGGGGCCCGCACAAGCAGUGGAUUAUGUGGUUUAAUUCGAAGCAACGCGAAGAACCUUACCAGGUCUUGACAUCCGACUAACGAGAUAGAGAUAUGUCAGGUGCCCUUCGGGGAAAGUCGAGACAGGUGGUGCAUGGUUGUCGUCAGCUCGUGUCGUGAGAUGUUGGGUUAAGUCCCGCAACGAGCGCAACCCCUGCCAUUAGUUGCUACGCAAGAGCACUCUAAUGGGACCGCUACCGACAAGGUGGAGGAAGGUGGGGACGACGUCAAAUCAUCAUGCCCCUUAUGACCUGGGCUACACACGUAAUACAAUGGCCGUUAACAGAGGGAAGCAAAGCGGUGACGCAGAGCAAAACCCUAAAAACGGUCCCAGUUCGGACUGUAGGCUGCAACCCGCCUACACGAAGUCGGAGUUGCUAGUAAUCGCGGAUCAGCAUGCCGCGGUGAAUACGUUCCCG
rnacentral:rRNA from 1 species